UACGUAGGGUGCGAGCGUUGUCCGGAUUUAUUGGGCGUAAAGAGCUCGUAGGCGGUUUGUCGCGUCGGCCGUGAAAUCUCCACGCUUAACGUGGAGCGUGCGGUCGAUACGGGCAGACUUGAGUUCGGUAGGGGAGACUGGAAUUCCUGGUGUAGCGGUGAAAUGCGCAGAUAUCAGGAGGAACACCGGUGGCGAAGGCGGGUCUCUGGGCCGAUACUGACGCUGAUGAGCGAAAGCCAGGGGAGCAAACGGG
rnacentral:rRNA from 1 species